rnacentral:rRNA from 1 species
CCUACGGGUGGCAGCAGUCGAGAAUCUUCGGCAAUGGGCGCAAGCCUGACCGAGCGACGCCGCGUGCGGGAUGAAGGCCUUCGGGUUGUAAACCGCUGUCGUAGGGGAGGAAGAUCCUGUGCAGAACAGGGUUUGACCGAUCCUAGGAGGAAGGGCCGGCUAAUCUCGUGCCAGCAGCCGCGGUAAUACGAGAGGCCCAAACGUUAUUCGGAAUUAAAGGAGUUCGUGAGUUCGUAGACAAGCAGGGAGUGAAAGCCCUCGGCUCAACCGAGGAAUUGCGCUCUGAACUGUCGUGCUUGAGGAAUCUAGAGGUGAGCGGAACUGAUGGUGGAGCGGUGAAAUGCGUUGAUAUCAUCAGGAACACCGGAGGCGAAGGCGGCUCACUGGGGAUUUUCUGACGCUGAGGAACGAAAGCCAGGGUAGCGAACGGGAUUAGAUACCCCUGUAGUC